rnacentral:lncRNA from 1 species
AUGCAGCUUUCCCCACGCCUCCCCGCUCCCAGCUGCGGGAUCUCUGUAUUUCCAUGGAUCUGCAGCGGAUUUCUGCAUCCCAUGGAUCUCCACUGGAUCUCUGCAUCCCAUGGAUCUCCACUGGAUCUCUGCAUCCCAUGGAUCUGCAGGGGAUCUCUGCAUCUCAUGGAUCUCCACUGGAUCUCUGCACCCCCAUGGAUCUGCAGGGGAUCUCUGCAUCCCAUGGAUCUCCACUGGAUCUCUGCAUCCCAUGGAUCUGCAGGGGAUCUCUGCAUCCCAUGGAUCCGCACUGGAUCUCUGCAUCCCCAUGGAUCUGCAGGAGGAUUUCUGCAUCCCCAUGGAAUCUCUGCAUCCCCAUGGAUCUGCACUGGAUCUCUGCAUCCCAUGGAUCUGCACUGGAUCUCUGCAUCCCAUGGAUCUCCACUGGAUCUCUGCAUCCCCAUGGAUCUGCAGGGGAUCUCUGCAUCCCUAUGGAAUCUCUGCAUCCCAUGGAUCCGCAGGGAAUCUCUGUAUUUCCAUGGAUCCAUACUGGAUCUCUGCAUCCCCAUGGAUCUCCACUGGAUUUCUGCAUCCCCAUGGAUCUGCAGGGGAUUUCUGCAUCCCCAUGGAAUCUCUGCAUCCCAUGGAUCUCCACUGGAUCUCUGCAUCCCAUGGAUCUCCACUGGAUCUCUGCAUCCCCAUGGAUCUGCAGGGGAUCUCUGCAUCCCUAUGGAUCUGCACUGGAUCUCUGCAUCCCAUGGAUCCGCAGUGGAUCUCUGCAUCCCAUGGAUCUGCACUGGAUCUCUGCAUCCCCAUAGAUCUCCACUGGAUCUCUGCAUCCCAUGGAUCCGCAGUGGAUCUCUGCAUCCCAUGGAUCUGCACUGGAUCUCUGCAUCCCAUGGAUCCGCAGGGGAUUUCUGCAUCCCCAUGGAUCUGCAGGGGGUCUCUGCAUCCCAUGGAUCUCCACUGGAUUUCUGCAUCCCAUGGAUCUGCAGGAGGAUUUCUGCAUCCCCAUGGAAUCUCUGCAUCCCAUGGAUCUCCACUGGAUCUCUACAUCCCCAUGGAAUCUCUGCAUCCCCAUGGACCUGCACUGGAUCUCUGCAUCCCCAUGGAUCUCCACUAGAUCUCUGCAUCCCAUGGAUCUGCACUGGAUCUCUGCAUCCCAUGGAUCUGCAGGGGAUCUCUGCAUCCCUGGAUCUCCACUGGAUUUCUGCAUCCCAUGGAUCUCCACUGGAUCUCUGCAUCCCAUGGAUCUGCAGGGGAUCUCUGCACCCCCAUGGACCUGCAGGGGGAUUGUGGCAGUCCAGGGCGUCGCUUUGGCUGCCCUGA